rnacentral:rRNA from 1 species
AGGUAAGCUACUAAGAGCGAAUGGUGGAUGCCUUGACUGGUAAAGGCGAUGAAGGACGUACUAGACUGCGAUAAGCUACGGGGAGCUGUCAAGAAGCUUUGAUCCGUAGAUUUCCGAAUGGGGCAACCCAAUGUAUAGAGAUAUACAUUACCUAUAUAGGAGCGAACGAGGGGAAUUGAAACAUCUUAGUACCCUCAGGAAAAGAAAUCAAUAGAGAUUGCGUCAGUAGCGGCGAGCGAAAGCGCAAGAGGGCAAACCCAGUGCUUGCACUGGGGGUUGUAGGACUGCAAUGUGCAAGAGCUGAGUUUAGCAGAACAUUCUGGAAAGUAUAGCCAUAGAGGGUGAUAGUCCCGUAUGCGAAAAACAAAGCUUAGCUAGCAGUAUCCUGAGUAGGGCGGGACACGAGGAAUCCUGUCUGAAUCCGGGUCGACCACGAUCCAACCCUAAAUACUAAUACCAGAUCGAUAGUGCACAAGUACCGUGAGGGAAAGGUGAAAAGAACUGAGGUGAUCAGAGUGAAAUAGAACCUGAAACCAUUUGCUUACAAUCAUUCAGAGCCCUAUGUAGCAAUACAGGGUGAUGGACUGCCUUUUGCAUAAUGAGCCUGCGAGUUGUGGUGUCUGGCAAGGUUAAGCAAACGCGAAGCCGUAGCGAAAGCGAGUCUGAAUAGGGCGCUUAGUCAGAUGCUGCAGACCCGAAACGAAGUGAUCUAUCCAUGAGCAAGUUGAAGCUAGUGUAAGAACUAGUGGAGGACUGAACCCAUAGGCGUUGAAAAGCCCCGGGAUGACUUGUGGAUAGGGGUGAAAGGCCAAUCAAACUUCGUGAUAGCUGGUUCUCUCCGAAAUAUAUUUAGGUAUAGCGUUGUGUCGUAAUAUAAGGGGGUAGAGCACUGAAUGGGCUAGGGCAUACACCAAUGUACCAAACCCUAUCAAACUCCGAAUACCUUAUAUGUAAUCACAGCAGUCAGGCGGCGAGUGAUAAAAUCCGUCGUCAAGAGGGAAACAACCCAGACUACCAGCUAAGGUCCCUAAAUCUUACUUAAGUGGAAAACGAUGUGAAGUUACUUAAACAACCAGGAGGUUGGCUUAGAAGCAGCCAUCCUUUAAAGAAAGCGUAAUAGCUCACUGGUCUAGUGAUUUUGCGCGGAAAAUAUAACGGGGCUAAAGUAAGUACCGAAGCUGUAGACUUAGUUUACUAAGUGGUAGGAGAGCGUUCUAUUUGCGUCGAAGGUAUACCGGUAAGGAGUGCUGGAGCGAAUAGAAGUGAGCAUGCAGGCAUGAGUAGCGAUAAUUAAUGUGAGAAUCAUUAACGCCGUAAACCCAAGGUUUCCUACGCGAUGCUCGUCAUCGUAGGGUUAGUCGGGUCCUAAGUCGAGUCCGAAAGGGGUAGACGAUGGCAAAUUGGUUAAUAUUCCAAUACCAACAUUAGUGUGCGAUGGAAGGACGCUUAGGGCUAAGGGGGCUAGCGGAUGGAAGUGCUAGUCUAAGGUCGUAGGAGGUUAUACAGGCAAAUCCGUAUAACAAUACUCCGAGAACUGAAAGGCUUUUUGAAGUCUUCGGAUGGAUAGAAGAACCCCUGAUGCCGUCGAGCCAAGAAAAGUUUCUAAGUUUAGCUAAUGUUGCCCGUACCGUAAACCGACACAGGUGGGUGGGAUGAGUAUUCUAAGGCGCGUGGAAGAACUCUCUUUAAGGAACUCUGCAAAAUAGCACCGUAUCUUCGGUAUAAGGUGUGGUUAGCUUUGUAUUAGGAUUUACUCCGAAAGCAAGGAAACUUACAACAAA